CUGAAAUGGAAAAAUCAAUUAAAAGUAUUGAUUAUUUCUUUGUGUAUCUGCCCCUGGCCAAAUCAAUGAAACAGUGCGUGCACGCUCCCUGAAGUAAUUCACACCAGACACAGGUUCCAGGUUGUUGAAUAACUUGAGGAAUGUUUAUUCAGAGGGGACGGCAAGUCCCUUUUAAAGCAAAAUUACAUCAUAAGCAUUGUCAGAGAUAACAUGGAAUAAUACAUCAAUUAUUGGUUAGGUGUUAAGUGGUUGCUCUAAUGCUCUGCCUACUGUAGGUGAUGUCACCGGGACCAUGAGGGUCUCCCACGGUUUCCCGGCGCCAUCUUGGUGCACGAGGUAGUUAGUCGAUGUUAGGAAGGAGAAAGGGAAGGGAGGGGGAAAAGGAGCAAGAAGCUUCUAGCAGCCAUCUUAAUUAUAACGUGUGUGCUUAACUAUAUAUAUAUAUAUCGUGAAAUGAGUAAAUAGACAUUUUUCACUAACUAGGAAAUAUGUGUAGACCUUAUUUCCACAACAGUCCCCCCUAAAAUGGCUAUUUACCAUAACAACUGUUACUGUCCCUAAUAUGUCCCUAGUUGCCUGCAACCUAUCUGUCUUAACUAGCAUCGAACACUUCACUCCGCGGGUAACCCGCAGUGGCUAGUCCACUACAUCUCCACACGUGAGACUCGCCAGUUAAGACAGACGCUUUCCCUAUACUGUCCCUACA